rnacentral:rRNA from 1 species
UACGGGGGGGGCAAGCGUUGUUCGGAAUUACUGGGCGUAAAGGGCUCGUAGGCGGCCAACUAAGUCAGACGUGAAAUCCCUCGGCUUAACCGGGGAACUGCGUCUGAUACUGGAUGGCUUGAGAUUGGGAGAGGGAUGCGGAAUUCCAGGUGUAGCGGUGAAAUGCGUAGAUAUCAAGAGGAACACCUGAGGCGAAGGCGGGUUGCUAGGCUGACACUGACGCUGAGUGCGCGAAAGCCAGGGGAGCAAACGGG